UUUACUGUUUCUGGGGAGUUUCCGCAGCGCCGCAGCGAAUUGUCCUCGUCUUCGCAACCUAGUCUGCUUCUUGCUCCAGUCGUGGUUGUCAGUGGAAGGUCUCCUGCUCCGUCUUCGACCGCAGGUGGACAAGGAGGUGCGACGCCACGCCACGUCGACACCUCCUGCGCAGUCAACCAAUUACCGACAGGCCUGCUGUUGGGUGACCUCUUCCUGAUGCAGGGUGUGGCAGAAGAAGAACAACCAAGUGCACAGUGUGGGUCAUGAGCUGGACAGGAAAUACAAAGCACCAUCAGCAGAGACACGAUUCCGUCAUUGUCAUCAAUGAAAAGCAGAGGACCUGCGAGACACACACACAACGCACAUGACCCAGAGUGAAGAAGAAAGACGGAAAGAAAGAAAGAAAGAAACAGGCUGUGAAAAACCCACAAUGCUACCUGCUCAGCAAUGAGCCGACAAAGCUGGGUCUGCCGGGCCCCCUCAUCUCCCAGGUCCCUAGACUGUGCCCGGUCGGCCGGUUCAGCAACCCGCCCCAUCAGGUUAUAUUUCAAAAAACAUUGGCCGCACAAUCUUUUCCAACAACUGGAUCCACAGCCUCCCACAUGCUGUUUGUAUGUGUCUGGGAAGAAAUCUGGUACACACGACGUAUGUGUGGGGUCCGACAACUUGGCAGUGGACCGAUGAUUUACGGUCUGUAAUACAUCCUGUGAAGAAGUAAAGUGCAUGCCAUCAGCAUGACUGCAUGGGGUUUGUGCCAGCAUAAGGUUAAAGGCCCAGAAAUGAAAGGUUUUGUAAUCAACGAGGAAAGAUGAACCUUUAUUAACAGUUUUCCUUUGCAGCUUAGUCAUUGUGAAGUCACCUUUUCGACUCCGGUCGAUAAAAUACCUACUCCCAAGACAGGAACAUCUCCAGCACGGAGGAGUUCAAAGCCUGGAUGAACAUCAUACAUGAGCACCUCACGUGUGCUACUGUUGGGAAAAUGUGCAAAGGUUCUUUGAAAACCCUUUGCCUUUAGUGUUACCAGUGCCUCUCCUGCCUUCAACACAUACAUUUAUAAAUUUAAAUUUAAAGAAAUUGAACAAAAA